CGUGUCCAGAUGUCACUACUGUCAACAAUGGAAAAGCAGGUGCUCGCGAAUUCGCGCUAGAGCACGCUAUUUCAAGAGGGAAUCAUGACAGCUGCUUACCACAGAAUGGCAUCUGUGUGCUCCAGGAGCCAUCCAGCAGACAGGUGGCCAUGUGGAAGCCUUUGAGUGUAAAACCUGGAUCACAGCGAAAUAGAGCCUGACCUCCGACCCUCACAUCCAAACUCUCCACAGUGCCAUGGUCUGGUGG